GAGUUUGAUCAUGGCUCAGGAUGAACGCUGGCGGCGUGCCUAAUACAUGCAAGUCGAGCGAACGGACGAGAAGCUUGCUUCUCUGAUGUUAGCGGCGGACGGGUGAGUAACACGCGGAUAACCUACCUAUAAGACUGGGAUAACUUCGGGAAACCGGAGCUAAUACCGGAUAAUAUUUUGAACCGCAUGGUUCAAAAGUGAAAGACGGUCUUGCUGUCACUUAUAGAUGGAUCCGCGCUGCAUUAGCUAGUUGGUAAGGUAACGGCUUACCAAGGCAACGAUGCAUAGCCGACCUGAGAGGGUGAUCGGCCACACUGGAACUGAGACACGGUCCAGACUCCUACGGGAGGCAGCAGUAGGGAAUCUUCCGCAAUGGGCGAAAGCCUGACGGAGCAACGCCGCGUGAGUGAUGAAGGUCUUCGGAUCGUAAAACUCUGUUAUUAGGGAAGAACAUAUGUGUAAGUAACUGUGCACAUCUUGACGGUACCUAAUCAGAAGGCCACGGCUAACUA
rnacentral:rRNA from 1 species